GACCUAAAAAAUAAUUGAUUUCUAUUGAUAAUAAUGAGUUAAUGAGGCCCGAACUCGAAAUCCUGAAUAAAAAACCUUAACAGAGAACAAAAAUCUAACUCGGCAUCGAGAAAUAUAAUCUGGACAGAUUUGACGCUGAUAGAAAAAUCCCAAAUCAAUAAUUCCAACCGAUCAUAAACUAACUCGCUGGAAUUGGAGUUGGUUGGCCGUUUGUGCCUCGCCGGAGCUUCAACAGACUACGUAGCCACGAAUCGAGGGUCUCUCUGAUAAAUAUUAUUGGAAAAAGUCAGAAACAGAGGAGGGCGGGGGAUUUCAAGGAUCUACGGGUGACGGGAUUUAACGAGGGACGCCGAUUCUGGAGACAAACUCACCGGAGACAUUUAACUCCGUCCAUUUUCCCUUCUCUCUCUGUUUUCCUCUUCUCCUCCGACCAGAUCUCUCCAUUUCUCUCUCACUUUGAUCAGCUCUCUCUUCGUUUCUUUUUUACUCUUUAUUAUUCUCUCUUUUUCGAUCUCUCCCCUUCGUCUGUGUGUGCGUGAAUAUUGUUGUUUGUUCUUGUGUGCAGGUGUAGGUAUUAUUGUCGUUCUGUGAGUGGGAUCUUUCGUGUGUGUAUAUGAAUUAUGUUAAUGGAAAUGUGAUCUGUGUCUUUUGUGAUGUGAGUGUAUGUGUAUGAUGAGAAAUUGAGGAUAUAUGGGCUUCUCUUAUAAUUUCUAGUGAAGUGUCUUUUCUUCUUUGUAAUGGGAAUUGUGGGUGUAUGAAUAUGGUGAAUGGAAGAAGGAAAAAGAAAAUCCAGAAAGAUGAUGAGUGUCUGUGUCGUGUAUAUUCUGUGUAUGUAAUAUUUUUUGUGUUGCUGUGUUAGUGAGUCUUGUGAUGUUGUGUAUUCCAGUGGGGUAUCGCUUAUCAUUGUGUGAGUGGGUAUGUGUAUUAGUAUUGUCUUUUUAGUCAAAGAAGAGAAAAAUAUAAAAUGGUAGUCGAGUUUUUGUAAGUUAAAUAGUUGUUGUGAUUGUCAGGUAGUGGGUGGGAUAAGGUGGGGGUAGGGGAUAGGUAGGGGUAGGUAAAUAGGUAAAAAUUAUUUUGGAGAGAAAAAAUAUUAUGUGUCUACAUCAUGCCCCCUUUGAAUGUAAACACAAACUAUUUUUAAACAAAGAAGUAGACAACGAGAUAGAAUUUUAUCCCAAUCAUUAUUCAAAAGAAAGAAACAAAAUGGAGAAGGUCAAUUGAGUCUUGAUUUUGGGCAUUCUACCUGUCUCAAGUUAUGUUAGAGUCGGUUCACAGAUAUCUCAAAUGAUUGGAAGGAGGGGGACUAUGCCUUGUUGGAGAGUUGAGUGGGAUCCUGUCGAGGUUUUGGUCCGCGGCUCUGCUAUUCAUCAAAGUUAAACAUUACAAGUUAAAAGAUAACUGAAAUUACGAAAUUCCUAUUUAUGCAGCUUCUUUUGGACUCUUGACUUGAGUUUCUGAUCUUUCAAAAUGUACAAAAGAUCUGAACUUCUUUGGGUUGAACUUAAGAAUAGAUACUUUCUCCAUACAAAAUUUGAUAUUUUAAGAUAAAAUCAUAAACUGACCAUGCUCUGUCGGUGGUACUUCUGAACCUUGAUCCUGAAUUUGAAAAUCUACACCUUAUUCUUUAGGCGGGCUCUAGACUUACAAUUUCUUCACUUUGUUGCUUGACUUUUAAUUUCUUCACCCUGUUCUUCAGGUGGGCUCCUGACUUUCAUUCUCAUCACUCUGUUCUUCAGGCAAGCUCCUAACUUACCAUUUCAUCACCCUGUUCCUUAGGCGGGCUCCUGACUUGCCAAUUCAUCACCCUGUUCUUCAAUAGGGCUCCUGACUUUAAAUUUCAUCACCCUGUUCUUUAGGCGGGUUCCUGAAAUCAAAAUCAAAACUAGAACGAAAAUUAUCCCUAACAAGGAUUAUGAUAAAGAAAGAUUUCAUUUUUCUAAAAGUAAUGUCCCAUUUUCCAGGAGGGUCCGGAACAUAAAGUAAUGCCCCCGUUUUCCAGGAGGGUCUAGAACAUAAAGUAAAUUUCCAUUAUUCAGGAGGGUCCUGAAAAGAAAGUAAAUUCUCAUUUUUCAGGAGGGUCCUGAACAUAAAAUAACUUCCCAUUUUCCAGGAGGGUCCUGAACAUAAAGUAAUGCCCCGUUUUCUAGGAGGGUUCUAAACACAAAGUAAAUUUCCAUUUUUAGGAGGGUCUUGAACAUAAAGUAAAUUUCCAUUUUCCAGGAGGGUCCUGAACAUAAGUAAAUUCCCAUUUUCCAGGAGGGUCCUGAACAUAAAGUAAUGUCCCAUUUUCCAGGAGGUUCCUAAACAUAAAGUAAAUUCCCAUUUUCCAGGAGGGUUCUGAACAUAAAGUAAAUUCCCAUUUUUCAGGAGGGUCCAGAACAUAAAGUAAUGUCCUAUUUUCCAAGAGGAUCUUGAACAUAAAGUAAAUUCUCAUUUUCUAGGAGGGUCCUGAACAUGAAAUAAAUUUUCAUUUUCCAAGAGGGUCCUGAACAUGAAGUUAAUUUCCAUUUUCUAGGAGGGUUCUGAACAUAAAGUAAAUUCGCAUUUUCUAGGAGGGUUCUGAACAUAAAGUAAAUUCCCAUUUUCCAGGAGGGUCCUGAACAUAAAGUAAAUUUCCAUUUUUCGGGAGGGUCCUAAACAUAAAGUAAAUUCUCAUUUUCCAGGAGGGUCCUGAACAUAAAGUAAAUUCUCAUUUUUCGGGAGGGUCCUGAACAUAAAGUAAAUUUCUAUUUUUCGGGGGGGUCCUGAACUGAAGUAAGUUCUCACAUUUCAGGAGGGUCCUGAACAUAAAGUAAACAUUCUCAUUUUCUAGGAGGGUCUUGAACAUUAAGUAAAUUCUCAUUUUCCAGGAGGGUCCUGAAUAUAAAGUAAAUUCUAAACAAUAGAAAUUAAAAUUUGCUUUUUUCCCCUGUUUAUCAUCAAAAUCUUUUGCGGGUGUCAAACUUAAUCACAACUACUUGCAACAAUGCAUAAUGCAAAGAUGAAUCAAGAUUCUAAUCAACAAAUGCACCCUUUUGAGGGUAAAAUUACAUGGCUGAGACCAAAAAGUCCCUCUCUUAAGAGUGAAAGUGAAAGAUAAUUGCUAAAAGUACUUCUUUUUAGGAUUAACGACUCAAAUUAGGAAGUGCAUCUCCUAGCCAUGAGACAUGAAAGACCCAUAUUAGAGAAUGUGUAUCUUAGGGAUAAAAGAUAAUGAGUUUUACCAUAAUUGUGAUUUCCAAACCUGUACAGCAACAUCUCUUGCAUUUCAAGAAAUGAGGAAUUGUACCUCUAAAUAUUCGUGCUUUGAAGCCUUUGAUUUGAAGGUAGCAACUGUUCCUGUUUCAUACAAAGAAAACUUGUGAGUUUCAACAUGGUGGUUGACUUGCAGCUUUUGCUUUUGAGGAGAUUGCUCUUGCACUUCUGACAUUUAAUCUUGCUUCCAACUUAUGGCACAUCACUAUCAUGUUGUACCAUUGAUCCAAACUCAGGUUAUUAUGAGUGACUCUGAAACAAACACGAUAUCUUGGUUCUGCUAGGUUUCAGAAAAAUUUCUUGAACCUUGGUAUUUCCAUAAAUCCCCCAAACUUGCUUGUUGACAAAACUUUCUAUAUGCCUUGUUUCGGUUCACGAUCAUGCUUUUUUCAUGUACUGGCCUUUUUUGUCUUGCUUUGUGCAAUUGAAGAUGUUGGUAGCCAAUUUUGAAAUCUUUUCUCACUUGUUUCGACAUGUACUUGACUCAAAAGACAUGAGAAAAAAUUAUUUUUUGUUCGAAUGACAGACUCAAAAGAGCAAAUAUAGAAAUAUAAAGAGGAAAGAUUGAUCUGAAGGUCUUUCUUUGGUUGUAACUUAGCUUUCGAAUAAGGUUAGAAAGAAAUGAUAGCCUGAGGCCCAAACGACACUUGAAGUGGGGUAAGACUUACAACUUUUGAAAUCAACUCAAACAAUGAGGAUUAACUCAUGCCCCAAUUUAUUUUAACUGGGCAACUCAAAAUUAUUUAUUUGGUUGGACCGAGCCCGGAGUAGGGCAGCCUACAUAUCUUACCCACCGAGAGAGAAGAAUUAGGUCACGCCCUAGUUCUGACGGGUUAUUCUUUUGCUUGAUUCUGAAUUCUCUUCUUUUUUAAUUGACUCUUUUUUCUCUUUGAAAUCUUUUCUGACUCUAUUUUUCUUAAAACUCUUUUCUUUUCUUUCCUUUUUUUUGAGAAAUCUUCUCUCCUUUUUUUUAAACUCUUCUGACACUAUUCUUUUGCUCAACACUUUUCUUUGAGCUUUGCGAACUCUAUCUUGAUUCUAAAAGAGGGAUAUGAAAGAAAAUAAAACUAAAGCUCAAAUGGGGUAAAUAAAAGAUGACAUAAUAUUUGGAUAGCAGAAUGAAAUGCCUUCGUUAUACCAAUCCUUAAAAAUGCAAGUGCAUAACAUGCAAAAUGAAAAUGAGAAAUGAAGAUCAUUUGUGACACAUUUUAGAGCACUAACUUGCCCUAAGCAUCUGUGUUACUACUUCUGCACUUGUCCAACAUACAACUCCACAUUUAUUAUACGUCCCUCACAUCGAAUGACUCGUGCUUUGGUGGAGCUAGUUAUAUUCCUUUUUCUCUUGAUAUAGGAUCAUGCAUUCACUACUUGACCUAAUUGAGAUGUACCUUUCAAUUGACGAUCAAGUUAUUCUUGUGAUUCUCAAAAUAAUUGCCCUGAUUUUUAAAGAAGGCUUCAGCUUGAUCAUCAAAUGCCUCAACACUCUACCCAUUUUCUUAGAUGUUCUCUUUUCCUAACUUUAGCCCUCUGAUUCAAUGUUUAAUGAUUAAAACUGAAUUUUAAGAUCUGACUGAAAAUUCCACAAGCAUGUAAUAACACUAGAAUCCAACAUAAAAUGUAUUGUAUAAAGAAAACAAACAAACAACUUAAAAUAAGACAAAACGACAAGGGACACCACAUUUCAUUGAAAGAAAAAAUAGAAGGAUUUAAACAAAGACGAUAGAGAAACAAAACAAGAUAGAUUUCGAACUACAACACUGAAAUAAUUUGAAAAAAUAGAAAGAAAAACAAAACAAACUACCAACAAUCCUUUCAAGUAAGGAGAGGGGUGACUUCCAAAUUGUAGAGCUUGACAUCUUAGCCACUGAUUUGCAUAUCAUUAUGACUAAAGCUUUUACCGCUAUCCGACACAUUCCCUUCAACAAAUAAGUUCUGAAUCCUCAUGCUUGACACAUUGCUUCCCAUAUAUUGUGCAUUAUCAUGUGAUGGUGAAGGAUUUUAUGUGACCUUUGUAGUGUCAAUAUUUUGCACUACAAUUAAUUUUUCUUGGAUCAUCUUUUCUAUUUCUCUUUUCAAAGCAUUACAACCUUUAAUACUGUGACCCUAAACAUCAGAAUGAUAUACACAUCAUACAUGAGGAUUAAAAUUUCUUGAAUGUGGAUCAGGAGUACACCCAAGGAGAGGAGUGAUUAUGCCCAACUCUUUCAAUCUCUAGAAUAAAUUGGCAUACAACUCCUCAAUUGGUGUAAAAUUAUCCCUAGGCUUCAUGUUAAGAAAUUUUGGUGGUCCAAUUAACAUUGAUGUGGGCUCAGGAAUAUAACAAUAAUCAUCAAGAGUAUUGAACAUUCAUUCACUAGCAACCUGGGAAAGCACAACCGUUGGACGAAUAGCCAAUAUGGAAGCCUCAGUAGAGGCUUGAGCAAAAAAAUCACAAAUGAUAGAUGGUGCUAUUAUAUGACAUAUUUACAUCGAAAAGCUGGAGAAUGAGUGGUGAAAGCAUUAGGAUGCUUUUGUCUUGGAGUGAAUUUUGAGGCAUGUUGUUGUGCAUCAACAACAAUAAAAAAUUGACUUCGCAAUUGUGAUGGAAGACUAAAGGUAUUUGCGGGGUCAAUAGCAAAAAAUAGAGGGGGAGCCAACCUACUGACCCAAGCUAGGUGCAUUUUCAUAAUUUGUUGUCUUAGUUUCACAAUCUCUUGCUUUAAAUUCUCAUUUUUCUAACUCUUUGACUGAUCUAUGAUGUCACUCUCUAUAUCCUUAUUGGACAUGACUAACUCUUUUUUAGGCUUGGUGUGAUGUGGAGGACCAGCCACAAUGCCACAAACCAAUCACCUUAAACAAACUGAACAAGAGAUAACAAAUGCGUUAGAAUUCAACCCUUUCUCAAAAUCUUUUUCUUUUUUUUCUUUUGAAAAGAUCACUGAACCCAAGAAGGGCGCCUACGUAUCUCACUCUUGAGAGAAGAGAACCAGGUGUGUGUAGUUCAAGAAGUUUUGGUACAAUAUGGUUGAUCAAACUCUCUUUCUUUUUCUACUUUUUUUUUCUUUGAAACUUUGAAGAGAAAAAGAAAAUAACAAAUUGUCAAAAGAAUUGACGAAAAUAUUUUUUGAAUCUUUCAGUUUUAAACUCCUUAUAUAAAAUGAAACCUAUGAUUAUCAAAAUAUCUUUUUUUCUUGGGAAGGGGGGGGAGGGUCAAUUUUAAAUUUCAUACGAAAAUGAGACUUGAAACUAUUACAGAAAAAUCUUUUUGUAGUUUUCUUUUAAAAAAGGUAUAUGACAGCUACUCUAAAUGAAGAGUGAAGAAAAUGUUUUUGAAUUUUUUUUAAAUAUGAUCACCGAACCCUAGAAGGGAUGCCUACGUAUCCAGCCCCAAAGGAAAGAAUCAAGUGUACAUAGUUCGUCCAGAUUGGACAAUUAAGGAUUAAAAAACAAACUAAACCUUGACUUGAGAGACACGACUACAACUAUGAAAAUAAAAUCUUUUUGGGGUUUUCAAUUUGAUACUUCACAUAAAACUGACACCAACAAAUAUGAAAGAAAUUUUUUUUUGGUAUUUUUGUUAUAAGAGAUGUACAAAACUCCUACCAUCUUUAGAUUUUCUUUUAUAAAAAGCUCCUAUUAAGGAAAAAUCUUUCUUUGAAAUUUUAGAAUUAUGAAUGCUUACUAAAGAAACCAAAGAAAAAUCUUUUUGAUGUUUUUCUUUUUGAAAAAUGAGUACAAAAGAUUAAAAAAAAAUUAAAUUUUUGUUAAUUUGAGAAGAUAAAUGCAAAAGGUAAAAAAUCUUUUUUUGAAUUUUUGAGUUGUGAAGAACAAAAGCCAUAACAAACUAUAAAAAUAAACUAUAAAACUCUUUUUUGAUUCACCUUUUCUUCUUCUUUUUUUCCUUUUUUUCAAUAUUUUUUUUACUACACUCUUUACUUCUGACACAUAAUUUUUUCAAAUCAGUCCAUCAAAUGACCUCGUCACCCUAAAAAAUGCAUCAUUUAGAACGUAAGCAUAUUUUUAAGGUGAGUCUCCUAUAAAAGAUCAAGUGGGUCCCAUUAGGUCUCAAUAUGAUGCAGAUAAACAUGACCUAAAGGUUGACCUACGCUGGAGUUCACUAACAAGGUCGUUCGGGGAAGCAUAUGGCCGAUAGUGGCUGUUUUGUUUUUCACCUACUCCAUACAUCCGAUGGCUCCCCCUCCUAAAAUAAGGAUGACUCAACUAGAGUUCGUGUAUACUACGUGCACUCCGAAACUUGUUGUAGAAAAAAAUUGACUCAGGGUAUGUAAAUGAUGCCAGAUAUAAAACGGUAACACAUAAAAGGAAAAAUUGUAAACACGUAGCAAGUAGGCACUCAACAAUGAUAAAAUAAAUACAAACAAUAACACAAACGACGACUAUACACCCAUAACAUCAAACUAAGCCGAUAUAACUCCAAAAAUAAGCUCGACUUCUGAAAAGAUCCCCAGCAGAGUCACCAAACUGUCACACCCUCUUUUUAACCAAAAGAAAUAAUUUUAAGUUUGAAAAGAAUAUUAUUAUUAAGUGACAAAAGAUGAAAAUUCAUUUUGAAAAGGAUUUUUGCAAUUAAAUUCAGAGUCAUCACUUGAUAUAAAUCGGAUGUACCAAGUCACCUUUGAAAAUCCUUUUUCAAAAUGGUUUUUGACUCUUUCAAAACUGAUCCACGAACAAAGAUUUCAGGUAAGAAAUUCUGUUGAUCAAAAGAAAAGUGUUAAGCACCCCUCGAUCCCGUGGUUCGACCACGGUCGCUUUGCAGAGUAUAUCGGCUAUGUAGACACCAUAAAUCUAUAAACAACAAAAACACAAACAAGACAAACAAGCAACCAAACAAUCAAAAGUCCAAAAAAUAAUAUCCAGUUCAACUUAUUACAACCCAAAAUAAAAUAUUGAAAUUAAAACCUAAAGUAUUGUAACUAUCCUAGCUAUGCUUUACUCAAUGCCUCAAGCCUUGAUCACGAGCCUCCUCCGCGUACAAGAUACUUUGGGUCAUUCCCCAAUAAAUAAAUACAAAUGACAUUGAGGCAUUCUCCGACUAAAUGAAUACAUCUUUUCAAUGCGACAAAAUAAAAUCAUUCAAACCAUUCAAGCAUUCAACAAUCAUUAUUCCUAAGUCUUGACUACCCAAAGCUUACGACUUUCCUAUAAAUUUCGGCCUAUAACAUGAUACUAUUGAGUUCGACAAUAUAGUGUCCAUUUCAAAUUAAAUAAUAAUUUAAUGAAUUAAACUAACCGACAUCCACCUUUUUUAUCAAUUUUUCAUUCAUACCCCCACGAUUAACAAAUUUUGACUUAAAGUGACCAAUCAAACUACGAUAAUUACGGAUAAACUCAAACGCAUUCAAAUAAAUCACCAAAUCAUGUCAUCAAGCACGUUAAGAUAAAAAGAGUAGAGUUAAGAAUUAGGACCUUAAAAAUAAUUAAUUUUUGUUGAUAAUAAUGAGUUAAUAAGGCCCAAACUCAAAAUUUCGAAUAAAAAACCUCAACAGCAAACAAAAAUCCAACUCUUCAUCGAGAAAUAUAAUCUGAAUAGAUUUGACACCGACAGAAAAACCCUGAAUCAACGAUUUCUAAUCGACCGUAAACUAACCCACUGGAAUCAGAGUUGGUUGGCUGUUUGUGACUCACGGAGCUUUGGUAGACUACUUAGCCACGAACUGAGGGUCUCUCCGACUAGAUCUCACCAAAAAAAAGCCAAAAACAGAUGAGGGCUGGGGAUUUCAAGAAGCUGCGGGUGAUGGGAUUUAACAGGAACGCCGAUUUCGAUGAUAAACUCGCCGGAGACAGUCAACUCCAUCCGUUUUCCCCUCUCUCUCCAUUUUUCUCUUCUCCUCUGACUAGAUCUCUCUGUUUCUGUCUUACUCCAACCAGCUCUUUCUCUGUUUCUCUCUUACUCUUUGUCACUCUCUCUUUCUCAAUCUCUCCCCUUCCUCUGUGUGUGCGUAAAUAUUGUUUUUUGUUCUUAUAUGCAGGUGUAGGUAUUAUUGUCGUUCUGUGAGUGGGGUCUUCUGUGUGUGUAUAUAAAUUGUGUUAAUGAAAAUGUGGUCUGUGUCUUUUGUGAUGUGAGUGUAUGUGUAUGAUGAGAAAUAGAGGAUCUGUGGGAUUCUCUUCCAAUUUCCAUUGAAGUGUCUUUUCUUCUUUGUAAUGGGAAUUGUGGCUGUAUGAAUAUGGUGAGUGGAAGAAGGAAAAAAACCCAGGAAGAUGAUGAGUGUAUGUGUCGUGUAUGUUCUGUGUGUGUAAUAUUUUUUGUGUUGCUGUGUUAGUGAGUCUUGUGAUGUUGUGUAUUCUAGUGGGGUCUCGCCUCUCCUUGUGUAAGUGGGUAUGUGUAUUAGUAUUGUCUUUUUAGUCAAAGAAGAUAGAAAGAUAAAAUGGCAGUAGUAAGUCAAAGAGUUGUUGUGAUAAGGUGGGGGUAUGGGAUAGGUAGGGGUAGGUAAAUAGGUAAAAAUUAUUUUGAGAGGAACAAAAUUAUGUGUCUACAAUUAGUAGUAAUAUAUCAUGUUCGCCUGUUGUAACAAGUAAUUUGUCUAAUUUUUAGAAUUAUAAAUUUUACUUCGUACAAGAGAUAUAUUUAUAAAAUACAUUUUCAUCGAGCGAUUCUUGACUCCCUAAUUAAAAACUUAAGGAUCGUUUGGUAGCUGGUAAAAAAAAACUUAUUCAUAUAUUUAUUUUUUAUAAGUUUUACAAUGUUUGAC
rnacentral:lncRNA from 1 species